AGGAAAUGUGCCAACAGCAACCUCCUGGUGCUUUAAUGUAUUUCUGAUGAGAUCCUGCGUCAUGGGGCUGGAGAGGGGGGAUCGAGUCUGAAGGGAGCUAAAUACAAGCCUUACAAUACAAGUUACCUUCAACUUUACCUUUCCUUGUUUGUGUUUCUACUGGGACAGUGUUUGGCGACUUGAAUUAAGUACAGGACCUACAAACCUGUUUUCUAGGCCUUUUGAGACCCAGGUGAAUAUACUGGAACUAUCGUUUCACCAAACUGCUGCUUAUAUUGUUCGGGACUGUGUUGUGGUAUUAUAGUGUGUGGAGCUGAAUAAUUGUAGUAAUAAUAUCCCCCUGAAGUCACAAGUAGCCUGCUAACAGUGUUUUAUGGAAGGUUUUACUGUUUUAGGUGUUUUUAGAAUAGGUUUGGUUUUGAAAUAUUGUGUAAGGUGGUUUGAAAGGGGGGAUUUUGCAAAUUGUCUUAUAAAAUGAGUUGUAUUCAAUUGUAUCACUUCAUGUAAUAAAGAAAUCAUUAUUUGUA